UAUGACCAUAUCACUGUGAAACACCAGUUUUCGUACGAUCAGUGAAGUUAAGCAUUGUCGAGCCUAGUCGGUAGCUAAAUGGGUGACUGCUUCGGAAUACCAGGUGCUGU